GAAAUGCGAUAAGUAAUGUGAAUUGCAGAAUUCCGUGAAUCAUCGAAUCUUUGAACGCACAUUGCGCCCUCUGGCAUUCCGGGGGGCAUGCCUGUCCGAGCGUCAUUACGCACCCUCAAGCCCGGCUUGUGUGAUGGGCCCCGCCGUCGCCCUUCGGGAGGACCGAAGCGCCCACUGAACUCCGGGACUCCCGUCCCGGAGACUGCGAACCUUGACCUCGGAUCAGGCGGGGUUACCCGCUGAACUUAAGC
rnacentral:misc_RNA from 1 species